UUUAAAAUUUUUUGUAGAGACAGGAUCUUGCCAUGUUGCCCAGGCUGGUUUUGAACUCCUGGCCUCAAAUGAUUCUCCCACUUAGGCUUCCCAAAGUGUUGGGAUUACAGGUGUGAUCCACCACACCCAGCUGUCUAUGUCUUAUGACUGCAUAAACCAGAAAAAAAUGGUUGGGGGGUGGGGGACGCGGUUCAGGCACAACAAUACCAGGAGAGACUAGCAGACCAUGUGAAUAGGAAAGACAUUUGGAGGAGCAGUUUAUUGAUGGAAGAUUAUGUAUCAUUCUAUCCAUGUGAUCUAUUGCAUCUACCAUUUAAUACAUCUGGCUAUCAUGCUACGGAAACCAUAUGAAGAACCAUGUGGAGAAAAGAGGCACUGAGAUUACGGGGAGAGCAUGAAGAGGGAGAGAGCCAGCCAUCCCACAAUCCCAGCUGAACUUCCAGAUGGUUCCAGCUCCAGUCAAUAUCUGACUGCAAUUUCAAGAGAGACUCCAAGCAAGAUCAGAUGAGCCCAGAACUGUGAGAGAUAAUAAAAUGGUUGCUGUUUUAGGUUA